GCAAUAACCCAGACAGGAGAUGAUGAGGGCUUGACCUUGGGCUGUGGUAGCGGGACAGGGAGAGGGACGGGUUGAGAAACAUUUAGGAGGUCAAGUUGUUGGGACCCAGAGACUGAUGGGAUGUGUGUGGGAUGAGAGGGAGGAGUCAAGGUGGCCUUGUCCUGGGGCUGAGCAGUGGUGCAACCCAGCCCUGAGGAAUUCCGGGAGUGGAGCCGACUUGGAAACUCAAGGCCAAUCUCAGGUUGAGACAUGGUCCACCAGAUGACCGGCUGGCCUCCUAAUUGGGCUUCCUGCAUUCCUGCCUGUGCUCGGAGCUCCCUUCUCCACUUGCCUGCUGGAGGAGGUUUACAAACAAAAUCAGAUCAUGGCACUCCCCUGGGGCCCUGCAUCCUGUGGCCAGCAGGUCUUGGAAACGCCCCUGUACCCCAGAAACUUCCUGAUCAGUCCCUGGUCAGUGUAUAUCAUGCUUCCUGUGACAUGACAUCAACUUUUCAGUGACUUCCACUGGUUUUGGCCCAGCUCGAAGAGCCUGACACCUCUGCAGGGAAUUCUACCAGGGAGCUCAGGAGGGGGAAUUGCACUGAAGAUUUGUCCCAUCGUGAAGCAAGAGCACUGGAACUUACACUCCACCAUCAGGCCCUGUCACAGGAGAACAAAGAAGGAAGGCAGAGGAGAUCAUGCUCCGGCCAGCAGGGAAUCUCCAUUUUUUUCAGCCUCAUACCUUGGAAAGUACAAAGGAGUGAGAGCUGGGACUACCAGCCAGAGGGUUCAUGGAGGUAGUGGGAGGGGAAGAUGGGUUCUGCAUGGAGCCACUCCAGGGACUUUUCUUCUGUCUCACAGCCUGACAAUCACCUCUAGCUGUUCUCAGUCCCAUUCUCAUCAAUGACCUCGUCUCCUGAUUUUGUACAAUAUCUAGGUGACCUUCUCUUCUUUCCAUCUUCAAACGCUUGAUCAUUGAUGCUCCCUUUUCUCUUCUCUCUCCUCCUGGGAAAAGAGAAGGACCAACAUCCCCCUUUCCCUUCCUCCUGUGCUGUCCCGACCCCUCUGAGACCUGGCUCUAGCAGUAAGUCCCUCUCUCUUCUGCAGCACCAGCCUCUGCCCAUCCCUGCCCUCUGCACACAAAGCUCUCACAUUGUCUGCACUUUAAGAACUUUUGUGGCAAACCCUGGCAAAUCCUGCCACUUGUUUCCACUCUUCUCAAAUGGCUUUGAGGUCAUCAUUGACCUAUCCCAUUUGACCCUGUCCUGUAUCUGAUGUUGUACCCUUUCUCCUUGAUCCCACUCUGGCAACUCUCCCACUCCCCUUUCUUGGAUCAACUGUCUUGCUCCUCAGUCUUGAUCAAUGCCUCCUUCUCUCUCUUUAGCCUUGGCCCUUUUUGGCCAGGGAAAUAAAUGUGAAAUACAUAAAGCUUCAUUUUAUCUUAUGAUUAUAGCUAUGUUGAUGUUACCCAAGACCUAAAAGUCACACUCUCUAAUUACACUUCCCUCCUGUGUUCUGGGUCCUCUUGGACCAGUCCUUACUCUGGCUCCCCUCCUGGAUGUCUCCCAGACUUCUAAUUAGAAUUACUGUUUCCUAUAUCAAGCUAAUUAUCUUUCCCACCAACCUCCUCCAUCCUUGGGUGAAAGCAUCACUUGGUUGCAAAAGUCAGAAAUCUGGGUUUCAUUCUUGCGGUAGGUAGAAUAAUGCCCCCAGGCCCCAGGUUUUGACAUCCGAAUCCCUGGGACUUUGCAGAUGUGAUUCAGUUUAGGAUUUUGAGAUGGGGAGAUUAUCUGGGAGAGCCUGAUGUCAUCAUAAGGUUCUUAUAAGAGGGAGGCAGGAGGGUUAGAGUGAGUAGUAAGAGAUGCAACAGUGGAAGCAAGAGGUUGGGGUGAUGUGGCCACAAGCCCAGGAGUGCUGACAGACAUCAGAAGCUGGAAGGGACAAGGAAUGGUUUCUCCUCUGGAGCCUCCAGAAAGAACCAGCCCUGCUGACACCUUGAUUUUAGCCUUGGAAGACUCAUUUUGGACUUCUGACCUUGAACGUUGUAAGAGAAUAAAUUUACAUAUUUUAAA
rnacentral:lncRNA from 1 species